GCGGAAUCCAAGCGAAACUCCUGCUUUUGCAUGUCUGCUGUAUGACCAAAAAUCUGUAAUUUUCAGACUUUUCUUGUAUUGAAAGUGAACAUCAGUCAACAAGAUUUUGGAGGGCUAGUGGGGUGGAGAUAAGGUCAAGCACAAUGUUAACGUAGCAUUUCUUUGUUCCUGUUGUCUCAUGUGUUAGCCAUUAUUAUAUCACGGGCCAGAGUACCUAAAAUGAGCUGCACUCUCCUAGCCAAAGGCUAUAGCAGUAAUGGACAAGAAAAGUAAUUCCAGAAGAUAUCUGUAAUAGGCCUGUCAAUCAAAAGGGAGCCAGAGGAAAAUGCUGCCUCAAAGUACAAGGUGGCCUUGGCAGACUUUCAACAGUGCUUGCUAAUCCUCAGACCGAGUGGCAACUGCAAAGCUGCUGAAACAGCUGGCAACAGGGCUCACCAAGAAGUCAGUUGCCAUCACUAAUAAAAUGUUAUCUACAGACUGAUAGCUGGGUCCUGAGAAAAAUAGAAGAGCUACAACUUCUCAGACCAAGUGGCACUAAGAUUAUCGCCAGUCUUAAUCGAGUUUGCUCCUACAGCCGAACAGCCAGUGACCUUGUUACUUGCACAACAAACAUCUCUGCUGUUUCCCGUGUGCAGGAAAUACGUUUAGUCUAACGAGCCUGCUGCGAACAGUUCCAUGGAUUUGGUAUAGUUACAGCUUUUAUAGGUAAGUUAGGAAAUUCAGCCGGCUGGAGGGUAGAGAAAAGCACACUGACUAGUGCGUGGUGGCAGGCGCAGAAUAAUCAGAAGACAGAGAAGGUCCUAGGGAGGUUAAAUAAAACGCUGAGAUUUUCACA
rnacentral:lncRNA from 1 species